CAUCAAUUUCCAGAAAAUGAGCCAAACAGACAAAGACAGUUUUCUAUUGUGCAACCAAACACGAGAAAGGAAAACGUUUUCCGGAAAAUGACUCAUUUUUCGGAAAAUAUUUUCCAGAAGUCAUUUUCCUGCUUUCCAAACGGACCCUAAAUUUCUUCCUAUUCUCCGUUCCUUCCCUCCAAAACCUUUCGCCGGAAACCUUAAGCCUCUCUAUAACUGUCCACUAUGUCUCCUCCCUCAAACGCCGCCCAGCUGUAAGAAACAAAUCGGCAGUCUAAGAAAUCCCCAAAUUGCUUCAAUUAGAAAUCACCAAACCCUUUGUUUACGCUUGCUUCGCUCAGAACAAGGAACGGACGCGCAGAUCAGUUUUCUUGGAUUUACCUCCCAGCUCAGUCGUGUUCCUCGCCAAUAACUUCAUCUCUAUAGUCAGCACCGCCAAUUGCUGUAUCGCGACCUCCAAUUCCGCACCGCCAAUCGCCGUAUCGCCGCACCACCAAUUCCGCACCGCCAAUCGUUGUAUCGCCGCACCACUGCGCCUCACGCUUGCUUCUUUGUAUUGUUUUGUGGGUUUUGAGGAUUAUGGGUUGAGGGUGGAUUUGGGUGAAAUCCUUUUGGAACUAGGAAUUUUCCAUGAGAUUGGAAAUAGGAUUCUUGUGAAAUGGUUGGGGUCAAGAAUUCUUGAGUGUAAUUUCUUCACCUCCGGAGGGAACCACUGGGACACUUGAAAUCUCCUCUGCUAAUUUUCUUGUAUAUUUCCAUGAUUUUUUUAUUUUUAUUUGUUUUUUUCAGAUUUAGCGUUGGGCUGCUUCUGGAUCAAGUUCAGAGGUUAAAAUCGGUGGCUGGAGAAGACAACUUCAAGAACAAAGAGAAAAGGAAGAAAAUAAAAUAUGAAAAAAAAAAAAAAAAAAGCCAACUCAUACUCCACG